CAGUAGCCGCGGUAAAACGUAGGUGGCAAGCGUUGUCCGGAAUUACUGGGCGUAAAGGGAGCGUAGGCGGAUCGUUAAGUUGGGGGUGAAAGCCCGGGGCUCAACCUCGGAACUGCCUUCAAUACUGGCGAUCUUGAGUAUGAGAGAGGUGUGUGGAACUCCGAGUGUAGAGGUGAAAUUCGUAGAUAUUCGGAAGAGCACCAGUGGCGAAGGCGACACACUGGCUCAUUACUGACGCUGAGGCUCGAAAGCGUGGGGAGCAAACAGGACUAGAUACCCCGGUAGUACAUGUCUCUUAUAC
rnacentral:rRNA from 1 species